UACGUAGGGGGCAAGCGUUGUCCGGAAUCAUUGGGCGUAAAGAGCGUGUAGGCGGUUCGGUAAGUCGGCUGUGAAAGUCCAGGGCUCAACCCUGGGAUGCCGGUCGAUACUGCCGGACUAGAGUUCGGAAGAGGCGAGUGGAAUUCCUGGUGUAGCGGUGAAAUGCGCAGAUAUCAGGAGGAACACCAAUUGCGAAGGCAGCUCGCUGGGACGUUACUGACGCUGAGACGCGAAAGCCAGGGGAGCAAACGGG
rnacentral:rRNA from 1 species